GUUGGAGGAACCGAAUGCCUCACCCAUGGUGGGUACUUCAUACUGUUAGUGGUGGGCAGGUGUCCUGUCAGCCCCCUCCAAGGAAUUCACCACCCAGCGAGGCCACUAAAACCUCCAGAGUAAGUCAAUCAGCCAUACUAAGGAAAGUGCUAAGGGGGACAGACAAGGUGAGAAGAGAAUCCUAUGGGCUGGAGGCUGCAAGGAAUAAGCCAAGUAGAAGGAGAGGAAUCCCAGCGGGAGGAAUGGGGGGAGCAGGGGCUUGGGAGAUGAGGACAGGCUUAGUGAUGGUUUGUGGGAGACAGCUCUUGAGGUGGAGAGCAGGAGGUAGGGGGUGAGACAAAAGUAGAAGAGGGCUUCAGACCCCAGGGCCCACAAGGAGGAGGUCCAUGAGCCCCUGAAGCUGUUUGCACAAUUGUUCCUGUACAUGUAUUUUUCUGCACAAGACUCUUAGUCUGGGGCCAUUAAGAAUCCCUGGUCCAGCUGGGUGUGGUGACUCAUGCCUAUAAUCUCAGCACUUUGGGAGGCCAAGGCAGGAGGAUCACCUGAGCCCAGAAGUUUGAGACCAGCCUGGACAACAUGGAGAGCAAAGGGAGAAAGCUCUAGGCUAAAGGCCAGAAGACCUAGCCCUGCCAAUAAAAUCAACCUCAUUUUGUGAAUGCCUGUUGUGUGCCAAGGACCCUGCUAAGUGCUUUGCUUGAAGAAAAAAUGCUGGGCAUCUUGGUGCAGCACAAAGUCCGGAGUGGCGUCUCGGGCAUCGUGGGCAUGGAGGUGGAUGGGCUGCCCUUCCACAACACCCACGCCAAGAUGAUCCAGAAGCUGGUGGACGUCACCACGG
rnacentral:sRNA from 1 species